GUGCUCACUUCGGCAGCACAUAAUACUAAAAUUGGAACGAUAAAGAGAUUAGCAUGGCUUCUUGCGCAACUUGACACACAAAUUCGUGAAGCGUUCCAUAUUUUU